UCAAUCUACGUUAUUCCUUUCCACGACUGGGUAUUAUUAAAAAAAUGGGGGAAGCAGAACCAAGUCAAGCUUAUAUGGGUCACCCCUUCUUGCGUCAAAGAUCUUACCAUUUCCGAAGGAACUGCGGCUACAUUUCUUUUCAAUUUUCAUUCAAGAGUUCCUAUCUUUUUCCACGCCCUUUUCUUGGGACCUCGAAACAUGAGUCAUCCCUUUUCAAAAGAAACUAUGUGA
rnacentral:rRNA from 1 species